rnacentral:rRNA from 1 species
CAGUCGAGCGAUGGAUUAAGAGCUUGCUCUUAUGAAGUUAGCGGCGGACGGGUGAGUAACACGUGGGUAACCUGCCCAUAAGACUGGGAUAACUCCGGGAAACCGGGGCUAAUACCGGAUAACAUUUUGAACUGCAUGGUUCGAAAUUGAAAGGCGGCUUCGGCUGUCACUUAUGGAUGGACCCGCGUCGCAUUAGCUAGUUGGUGAGGUAACGGCUCACCAAGGCAACGAUGCGUAGCCGACCUGAGAGGGUGAUCGGCCACACUGGGACUGAGACACGGCCCAGACUCCUACGGGAGGCAGCAGUAGGGAAUCUUCCGCAAUGGACGAAAGUCUGACGGAGCAACGCCGCGUGAGUGAUGAAGGCUUUCGGGUCGUAAAACUCUGUUGUUAGGGAAGAACAAGUGCUAGUUGAAUAAGCUGGCACCUUGACGGUACCUAACCAGAAAGCCACGGCUAACUACGUGCCAGCAGCCGCGGUAAUACGUAGGUGGCAAGCGUUAUCCGGAAUUAUUGGGCGUAAAGCGCGCGCAGGUGGUUUCUUAAGUCUGAUGUGAAAGCCCACGGCUCAACCGUGGAGGGUCAUUGGAAACUGGGAGACUUGAGUGCAGAAGAGGAAAGUGGAAUUCCAUGUGUAGCGGUGAAAUGCGUAGAGAUAUGGAGGAACACCAGUGGCGAAGGCGACUUUCUGGUCUGUAACUGACACUG